GGGAAGGUGGCUCAGUGGUAGAGUGCUUGCCUUGCAUGCAUGAGGCCCUGCCUU
rnacentral:tRNA from 1 species